GUUUUUCUAUAAUAAAGUGACCAACCAUACUGGUUAAAUCUCCCCUGUCUCCUCAAAGACUGUGCACUUGCAAUGACAUUGCGACUAUGUACUGCUGCCAACCUCCUCGGGCGCCGCCGUUUUGUUCCUUCUGAAUUCAUCUUUCACAUACUGGUCUCCCAGCGCUCUCAAAUCCAUGGGCAGGAACUAGUGCAACAGCAAAAUCCUCUUGUACAAUGAGCAAACUCUCGAUACAUGGGAAGGUUUCGCCAUAAAGUCGUUGGGUUUGGUCUGAAAGAGGGGAAUGAAGAUCACACUUUCACCUGUACUCUUUGUGUCUGUGCUGUGUAUAGAAUUGAUGUAUAUCCAACACUUUGUUUACUCAGACCCUAGCACUGUAGAACCUGCUGUUUUCUCACUGGGUAACCCCAGUGGAGAUCAUUAUGACAGCAGGGUUCCAAGACACAUGCACCCAGGUACUUGACUUCUGAAUAUCAAUUCACUGCAUUUUGUUCGUUUGACAAGUGCAAUGUACUUGUCUGUUUUUAACGUGAAGCUCUUUUAUAGCCAACUGACAAAUUGCAUAAUUAAGAUUUGUUUUUGUAAAGCUGUAAGGAAUAAUUAAAGGAUACAGUUACUA